CUACGUGCCAGCAGCCGCGGUAAUACGGAGGGUGCGAGCGUUAAUCGGAAUAACUGGGCGUAAAGGGCACGCAGGCGGUGACUUAAGUGAGGUGUGAAAGCCCCGGGCUUAACCUGGGAAUUGCAUUUCAUACUGGGUCGCUAGAGUACUUUAGGGAGGGGUAGAAUUCCACGUGUAGCAGUGAAAUGCGUAGAGAUGUGGAGGAAUACCGAUGGCGAAGGCAGCCUCCUGGGAUAACACUGACGUUCAUGCUCGAAAGCGUGGGUAGCAAACAGGAUUAGAUACCCUGGUAGUCCACGCCCUAAACGAUGUCAAUUAGCUGUUGGGCAACUUGAUUGCUUAGUAGCGUAGCUAACGCGUGAAAUUGACCGCCUGGGGAGUACGGUCGCAAGAUUAAAACUCAAAGGAAUUGACGGGGACCCGCACAAGCGGUGGAUGAUGUGGAUUAAUUCGAUGCAACGCGAAGAACCUUACCUGGUCUUGACAU
rnacentral:rRNA from 1 species